UGGGGAAUUUUGCACAAUGGGGGAAACCCUGAUGCAGCGACGCCGCGUGAUUUAGAAGGCCUUCGGGUUGUAAAAAUCUUUUUUACGGGAGGAAAAUGACAGUACCGUAAGAAUAAGGUCCGGCUAAAUACGUGCCAGCAGCCGCGGUAAUACGUAUGGACCGAGCGUUGUCCGGAAUCAUUGGGCGUAAAGGGUACGUAGGCGGCCUAGUAAGUUAGAAGUGAAAUAAUAUAGCUCAACUAUAUAAAGCUUUUAAAACUGCUAGGCUUGAGAGAUGGAAGGGAAAGUGGAAUUCCUAGUGUAGCGGUGAAAUGCGCAGAUAUUAGGAAGAAUACCGGUGGCGAAGGCGACUUUCUGGUCAUCAUCUGACGCUGAGGUACGAAAGCGUUGGUAGCAAACAGG
rnacentral:rRNA from 1 species